GCCCGCUUAGGUUUCAAAACUGACAGAUCAGCCUCAGCCUACUUCAAGUGCAGGGAUUAAAGAUGUGCUCAUCCAUACCCAGCAAGGGGCUGUCUUUAGAUUCUUGAGCAGACUCAGAAUUAGCACAGCCUGCAUGGGCAGGGACAUUCAGGAUAGACCAUGUUAAAUAUUCCUUUGCCUUGCCUUGAACAGAUCAGUGGGCAGGAACCAGCACUGCUUGUCUGGAUAGAGCCAGAAGACUGCCAGGAUCAAGCACCAGCGCAGGAAAGUCACCAUAGCCACACUUCAGUGGGGCACUCUACAGAAGACAGCAGGGUACUUGCAGAAUGCACAGUAGUGUCCCUGGACUUGCAAGGAGGUUGCUGCAACCAAAGGUUGUGGAAACCAGGACAUCACUGCCUUUCUAUAUGGCAUUGGUUUAGAAUCUUUGAGUCCUAGUGUUAGGUCU
rnacentral:lncRNA from 1 species